rnacentral:rRNA from 1 species
UAUGGCCACAUCAUAAUGAAAUACCAGUUCCCAUACAAUCACUGAAGUUAAGCAAUGUCAAGCCUAGUCAGUACCUAGAUCGGUGACCACAUGGGAAUACCAAGUCUUGUAAG